rnacentral:snoRNA from 1 species
GCCAAGAUUAGAGUCACAUCCUGAUACAGCACUUGUCCUGGUGUGCUGGAGUUCGCAGAGAGAAUUUGGUGGUCUUGAUUUACAGGUAAAGGAAGAGUCCGUGCCCCUGUUAGUGAUCAGAUAAAAAACAUGC